rnacentral:rRNA from 1 species
UACGUAGGGGGCAAGCGUUAUCCGGAUUUACUGGGUGUAAAGGGAGCGUAGACGGCAGCGCAAGUCUGGAGUGAAAUGCCGGGGCCCAACCCCGGAACUGCUUUGGAAACUGUGCAGCUCGAGUGCAGGAGAGGUAAGCGGAAUUCCUAGUGUAGCGGUGAAAUGCGUAGAUAUUAGGAGGAACACCAGUGGCGAAGGCGGCUUACUGGACUGUAACUGACGUUGAGGCUCGAAAGCGUAGGGAGCAAACAGG